rnacentral:rRNA from 1 species
AUUGAACGCUGGCGGCAUGCCUAACACAUGCAAGUCGAACGGCAGCACGACCUAGCUUGCUAGGUUGGUGGCGAGUGGCGCACGGGUGAGUAAUGCGUAGGAAUAUACCUUAAAGUGGGGGACAACCUGGGGAAACUCAGGCUAAUACCGCAUGAGCUCUAAGGAGGAAAGCUGGGGACCUUUCGGUGCCUGGCGCUUUAAGAAUAGCUUACGUCCGAUUAGUUAGUUGGUGGGGUAAAGGCUUACCAAGACGAUGAUCGGUAGCUGGUCUGAGAGGAUGAUCAGCCACACUGGGAAUGAGGCACGGCCCAGACUCCUACGGGAGGCAGCAGUGGGGAAUAUUGGACAAUGGGGGAAACCCUGAUCCAGCGAUGCCGCGUGUGUGAAGAAGGCCUGCGGGUUGUAAAGCACUUUCGGUGGGGAGGAGGACUUAUAGGUUAAGAGCUAAUGAGUUGGACGUUACCCACAUAAGAAGCACCGGCUAACUCCGUGCCAGCCGCCGCCGUAA